GCGAUCAUACCAGCACUAAUGCACCGGAUCCCAUCAAGACUUCGAAGUUAAGCGUGCUUGGGCGAGAGCAGUACUUGGAUCGGUGACCCCCUGGGAAGUCCUCGUGUUGCACCU
rnacentral:rRNA from 1 species